AACAUAGAACAAACUUUGUUAAAAAUAAUGUAGACACAAUGUAUUGCCACUACUAUAAUCUAAAAACGUAUCCAGUGAUACAACCAUAUUCAAGGGUCCUGUGAUACUCUUUUGUGAUAAAGUAUCUAAACACACUCAUCUUUCAAAAAGUGUCUAAAUAUACUCUUCUCUGAUAAAAGUAUCUAAACAUACAUUUCUUUCGAAAAAUAUCUAAACAUACUCUUUUCAGAAACAUAUUCAAAAAUACUAUUUUUAAUUCAAAGUGACUGUCGACGACAAAUGCAGAGAAGCAAAGACCACCAUUGCUACGAGACACAAGGAGAGAACAUGCCUUGUAUCCAAGAGAAGAUGGUUUGAUUUAAGUAGUAAUGCGAUGGCAACAAGAUCAAUGGAAUCAAUCGGAUCUGCAAUCUGCAAAGAUAAGCCUCCUAUCCAGAUCUACAAUCUGCAAGGAUACUAAAUUCAAAUUAACAAAUCGAUCACAAUAGUAAGGAUUAGUAAAUUUAGAUGGAAACAAGCAACACAGGUGAGCAACACAGAUGACAGAUGUGGGGCUAGGCGCUCUUAAUCUGGAAACAAGGAACACGUCUAAGCAAAGAGAUGUGCCUACGGAUUGACAUCAAAUUAAAUGAGAAACACACGAAUGGAUGGAUGGUACUGUAAUUGACGAUCCUAAUUCAGAUUUUAGAGGUACCCUGUUCAUUGUUGACUCAGCGCACCAGAAUAGAGGCGUCGCUCGAGUCGGAUAAGCCCGCCCGCCAGGGGGAGGCGGCGCACACGGCCUAGAGCGAUCCGUUCGACAGAUACGCGAGGGCCUGGUAGCGCCACCGUCGUCGAGGCCGGCCACCGAGCGUGCUGGCCGCCGUCGAGGGCCGUGGAGCACCCUGGAGGGGAAGAAGGUCCACCGGCGCGCUAGAAGGAAGAUCUAGUAUGCACCAGCCAAUUGGAAGUGGAGAGCAGAUUAGUAUCCUGUGUUUGCAAAGACGAACUGGUUAGAUGAGGACGAAGAUGUAG
rnacentral:lncRNA from 1 species